UGGGGGAUAUUGCACAAUGGGCGAAAGCCUGAUGCAGCAACGCCGCGUGAGGGAAGACGGUUUUCGGAUUGUAAACCUCUGUCUUCGGUGAAGAAACAAAUGACGGUAGCCGAGGAGGAAGCCACGGCUAACUACGUGCCAGCAGCCGCGGUAAUACGUAGGUGGCAAGCGUUGUCCGGAAUUACUGGGUGUAAAGGGAGCGCAGGCGGGGAGACAAGUCAGCUGUGAAAACUAUGGGCUUAACCCGUAAACUGCAUUGGAAACUG
rnacentral:rRNA from 1 species